CAGUAGGGAAUCUUCCACAAUGGACGAAAGUCUGAUGGAGCAACGCCGCGUGAACGAUGAAGGCCCUCGGGUCGUAAAGUUCUGUUGUAAGGGAAGAACAAGUGCCGCAGGCAAUGGCGGCACCUUGACGGUACCUUGCGAGAAAGCCACGGCUAACUACGUGCCAGCAGCCGCGGUAAUACGUAGGUGGCAAGCGUUGUCCGGAAUUAUUGGGCGUAAAGCGCGCGCAGGCGGCCUCUUAAGUCUGAUGUGAAAGCCCCCGGCUCAACCGGGGAGGGCCAUUGGAAACUGGGAGGCUUGAGUAUAGGAGAGAAGAGUGGAAUUCCACGUGUAGCGGUGAAAUGCGUAGAGAUGUGGAGGAACACCAGUGGCGAAGGCGACUCUUUGGCCUAUAACUGACGCUGAGGCGCGAAAGCGUGGGGAGCAAACAGGAUUAGAUACCCUGGUAGUCCACGCCGUAAACGAUGAGUGCUAGGUGUUGGAGGGUUUCCGCCCUUCAGUGCUGAAGCUAACGCAUUAAGCA
rnacentral:rRNA from 1 species